UGAGGAAUAUUGGUCAAUGGGCGAGAGCCUGAACCAGCCAAGUAGCGUGCAGGAUGACGGCCCUCCGGGUUGUAAACUGCUUUUAGUUGGGAAUAAAACAGCGGACUUGUCCGCUCUUGUAUGUACCUUCAGAAAAAGGACCGGCUAAUUCCGUGCCAGCAGCCGCGGUAAUACGUAUGUCACGAGCGUUAUCCGGAUUUAUUGGGCGUAAAGCGCGUCUAGGUGGUUAUAUAAGUCUGAUGUGAAAAUGCAGGGCUCAACUCUGUAUUGCGUUGGAAACUGUAUAACUAGAGUACUGGAGAGGUAAGCGGAACUACAAGUGUAGAGGUGAAAUUCGUAGAUAUUUGUAGGAAUGCCGAUGGGGAAGCCAGCUUACUGGACAGAUACUGACGCUGAAGCGCGAAAGCGUGGGUAGCAAACAGG
rnacentral:rRNA from 1 species